AGUUUUUCAAAUGCGACAACUACAUACCAAUGUCCCAUCUCAACCACGUGAUCUGCUUAAGUUAGGCGCGGUCUUUAUUGCUCGCAAUAGUUAGUCUAUCGGAAUGCUCCUUUAACUGUACAUUUCAUUUCUUUCCUGUGCCAAAUAUCGCCAAAAUGAUUGUCUGGAACCAAAACGAUUUAUGUUGUGAAAUUUAUUCGUAAGAGUACUAUGAGCUCACCACACCAUGAAAAACUUAGAAGUAACCCGUACACUGGGAAAGUCUGCCCAAACCUGUUCUACAUCAAUGCCGUCAUUUUCAGAAAUGAUACAACCAUCCAAAUCAGCUGGUAUUUUAUUAAUUUAAGAAUGGUUGAAAAAAUAACAGAUUUUUAUUAUUAUUAAUCUCAUAAAAAUUAUUAUUAUUUGGUAA